rnacentral:rRNA from 14 species
GGAUGUUUUCCUAUGGGGGUAGAGCACUGGAUGGGCUAGGGGGUCGCGAGACCUACCAAACCUAACCAAACUCCGAAUACCAUAGAGACAAGUCCGGGAGACAGACGGCGGGUGCUAAGGUCCGUCGUCAAAAGGGAAACAGCCCUAACCUACAGCUAAGGUCCCCAAGUCAUAUCUAAGUGGGAAAGCAUGUGGGAAUCCCAAAACAACCAGGAGGUUGGCUUAGAAGCAGCCAUCCUUUAAAGAAAGCGUAAUAGCUCACUGGUCGAGUCGGUCUGCGCGGAAGAUGUAACGGGGCUAAACUAUGCACCGAAGCUGCGGAUUCAUACUUUGUAUGAGUGGUAGGGGAGCGUUCUGUAAGCGGUUGAAGGUGUACCGGGAGGUAUGCUGGACGUAUCAGAAGUGCGAAUGCUGACAUGAGUAACGAUAAAGAGUGUGAGAGACACUCUCGCCGAAAGUCCAAGGGUUCCUGCGUAAAGCUAAUCUGCGCAGGGUUAGCCGGCUCCUAAGGCGAGGCCGAAAGGCGUAGUCGAUGGGAAA